GGAUAGCUCAGUUGGGUAGUGUGUGGUGCCGAUAACUCCAAGGUUGCAGGUUCAGUCCCUGUAUGGAACA